GACGAAGGUGGCGACCGUUGUUCGGAAUCACUGGGCAUAAAGAGCUCGUAGGCGGUGAGAAAAGUAGGGUGUGAAAUCCCUCGGCCCAACCGAGGAACUGCGCUCUAAACUGUCUUGCUUGAGGACCGAAGGGGACCACGGAAUUCCUGGUGGAGCGGUGAAAUGCGUUGAUAUCAGGAGGAACACCGGCGGCGAAGGCGGUGGUCUGGUCGGUUUCUGACGCUGAGGAGCGAAAGCUAGGGGAGCAAAC
rnacentral:rRNA from 1 species